UUUCCGUAGGUGAACCUGCGGAAGGAUCAUUAUUGUAUACCCGAGGUGCGAUGGCUGUCGCUGACCCGAAAGGUCGUGCACGCCCGAGUGCCCUCACACACAUCCAUCUCACCCCUAUGUGCACCACCGCGUGGGUCCCCCUUUGGCUUGUUCGGAGGGGGGCUUACGUUUUCACACAAACUUUGUAUGCAGUGUAGAAUGUAUUUUUUGUUUUUGCGAUCACGCAAUCAAUACAACUCUCAACAACGGAUCUCUUGGCUCUC
rnacentral:misc_RNA from 1 species